rfam:Kluyvera ascorbata ATCC 33433 GKAS.assembly.028, whole genome shotgun sequence.
AAAAUAAUGACCCUCACCGGUCAGGGCUAACUGCUGCCUGAAGAAAGGUAA